UAAAAAAGUUUUUUUGUUACACUUAUGGAUAGAAGGAAAUAAAAGUAUCAGCCAAGGCAGACAGUACCCUUACCUUUCUAAAUUCCUGCCCGUCCUUAGAUCUAUAAAUGUUUCUCCCAUUCCCAGCAGCUGCACCCACCUUAGUUGUGGGAAAGCACCUGCAAUCCUUGUCUUUCUUGUUACGCAACAUGAUGGGGCACAGACCCAGCCCUGGGGUCCUUAACCAUGGCACGUGCAGCUUCCCCUGCUAGCAGUAGCAUGCUGUCACUCUUGCCCAUGGCCUUGCCUCCUGCCUGGCCUUGGACCUCAUGAAUGCGGAAGGCCUGGGGUUCUCCAAGCUCUAGGCAGGAAGCAGAUUCCUCUCUGUGCAAAGACCCUCCAGGCCUCAGAAUGAGGAAGGAACCUAAGAGGGAGAGGGCGUGAACCUUCUGGGGCCGACAUAGGAAGAAGAGAGGGAUGCUGAUGUGGGAGGAGAAAUAAACAGCUUUCCUGGGUAUGAGGGCUAGUAAGCUUACUGGCCCCUGCUGAAGGUCUUCCAGGCCAUGCUGCCUUGAACGGGCCACUCACCUCUUGUGCCUGAGCUACUUUUGAGAAUCGCUUGAUCCCUGGAGGCGGAGGUUACUGUAUGCCGAGAUUGCACCACUGCACUCCACCCUGGGCAACAGAGCAAGACUUCAUCUCAAAAAAAAUAAGAAAAGAAAAUCCCUUUUCUCUCUGUGGCUGGAGGUAAAGCAGCAUAAUUUUGCAGGGCAAUUUGGCAUA
rnacentral:lncRNA from 1 species